rnacentral:rRNA from 1 species
UGCAGUCGAACGAUGAAGCCUAGCUUGCUGGGUGGAUUAGUGGCGAACGGGUGAGUAACACGUGAGUAACCUGCCCUUGACUCUGGGAUAAGCGCUGGAAACGGCGUCUAAUACCGGAUAUGACCUGCCCCGGCAUCGGGUGUGGGUGGAAAGUUUUUCGGUCAAGGAUGGACUCGCGGCCUAUCAGCUUGUUGGUGAGGUAAUGGCUCACCAAGGCGACGACGGGUAGCCGGCCUGAGAGGGUGACCGGCCACACUGGGACUGAGACACGGCCCAGACUCCUACGGGAGGCAGCAGUGGGGAAUAUUGCACAAUGGGCGAAAGCCUGAUGCAGCAACGCCGCGUGGGGGAUGACGGCCUUCGGGUUGUAAACCUCUUUUAGUAGGGAAGAAGGGCUUCGGCUUGACGGUACCUGCAGAAAAAGCACCGGCUAACUACGUGCCAGCAGCCGCGGUAAUACGUAGGGUGCAAGCGUUGUCCGGAAUUAUUGGGCGUAAAGAGCUCGUAGGCGGUUUGUCGCGUCUGCUGUGAAAACCCGAGGCUCAACCUCGGGCCUGCAGUGGGUACGGGCAGACUAGAGUGCGGUAGGGGAGAAUGGAAUUCCUGGUGUAGCGGUGGAAUGCGCAGAUAUCAGGAGGAACACCGAUGGCGAAGGCAGUUCUCUGGGCCGUUACUGACGCUGAGGAGCGAAAGCGUGGGGAGCGAACAGGAUUAGAUACCCUGGUAGUCCACGCCGUAAACGUUGGGAACUAGAUGUGGGGGCCUUUCCACGGUCUCCGUGUCGCAGCUAACGCAUUAAGUUCCCCGCCUGGGGAGUACGGCCGCAAGGCUAAAACUCAAAGGAAUUGACGGGGGCCCGCACAAGCGGCGGAGCAUGCGGAUUAAUUCGAUGCAACGCGAAGAACCUUACCAAGGCUUGACAUAUACCGGAAACUUCCAGAGAUGGUUGCCCCGCAAGGUCGGUAUACAGGUGGUGCAUGGUUGUCGUCAGCUCGUGUCGUGAGAUGUUGGGUUAAGUCCCGCAACGAGCGCAACCCUCGUUCUAUGUUGCCAGCACGUGAUGGUGGGAACUCAUAGGAGACUGCCGGGGUCAACUCGGAGGAAGGUGGGGAUGACGUCAAAUCAUCAUGCCCCUUAUGUCUUGGGCUUCACGCAUGCUACAAUGGCCGGUACAAAGGGCUGCGAUACCGUAAGGUGGAGCGAAUCCCAAAAAGCCGGUCUCAGUUCGGAUUGAGGUCUGCAACUCGACCUCAUGAAGUCGGAGUCGCUAGUAAUCGCAGAUCAGCAACGCUGCGGUGAAUACGUUCCCGGGCCUUGUACACACCGCCCGUCAAGUCAUGAAAGUCGGUA